UUGGAGGGCAAGUCUGGUGCCAGCAGCCGCGGUAAUUCCAGCUCCAAUAGCGUAUAUUAAAGUUGUUGCAGUUAAAAAGCUCGUAGUUGAAUUUCGGGAUCAGUGUUUCGGUCAUGCCGUUGGUAUGUACUGAUAUUAUUGAUUUCUCACCUUCUAAAGAACCGUAAUGCCAUUAAUUUGGUGUCACGGGGAAUUAGGACUGUUACCUUGAAAAAAUUAGAGUGUUUAAAGCAGGCUCACGCUUGAAUACAUUAGCAUGGAAUAAUGAAAUAGGACAUCCGAUUCUAUUUUGUUGGUUUCUAGGAUCGAUGUAAUGAUUAAUAGGGAUAGUUGGGGGCAUUAGUAUUCAAUUGUCAGAGGUGAAAUUCUUGGAUUUAUUGAAGACUAACUACUGCGAAAGCAUUUGCCAAGGAUGUUUUCAUUAAUCAAGAACGAAAGUUAGGGGAUCGAAGACGAUCAGAUACCGUCGUAGUCUUAACCAUAAACUAUGCCGACUAGGGAUCGGAUGAUGUUAAUUUUUUAAUGACUCAUUCGGCGCCUUACGGGAAAC
rnacentral:rRNA from 1 species